GACGAACGCUGGCGGCGUGCUUAACGCAUGCAAGUCGAACGGAAAGGCCCCUUUGGGGGUACUCGAGUGGCGAACGGGUGCGUAACACGUGAGUAACCUGCCCUUGACUUCGGGAUAACUUCAGGAAACUGGGGCUAAUACCGGAUAGGAAUCCUUGCUGCAUGGUGUGGGUUGGAAAGCUUCGGCGGUUUUGGAUGGACUCGCGGCUUAUCAGCUUGUUGGUGGGGUAGUGGCUUACCAAGGCUUUGACGGGUAGCCGGCCUGAGAGGGUGACCGGCCACAUUGGGACUGAGAUACGGCACAGAUUCCUACGGGAGGCAGCAGGGGGGAAUAUUGAACAAUGGGCGGAAGCCUGAUGCAGCAGCGCCGCGGGCGGGAGGACGGCCUUCGGGCUGUAAAACGCUUUCAGCAGGGGAGAAGCUUGUGGUGACGGUACCUGCAGAAGAAGCACCGGCUAACUACGUG
rnacentral:rRNA from 1 species